rnacentral:lncRNA from 1 species
UCUCUCUUUUCCCUCCCCUUCCCCUCUCCUUCUCCUCUUUUUCCUUCUCCCUCCGGCAGCCACCGUUGCCUCACGUUUCCGUCGCCUGCGAGCCGCCAAGUUGCCGCCGCUAUCGCCAGCGUCUUUCCUCUCCGCUACCGCCGACGUUGGCCGAAGGUAGGGAGCUGUCUUCGCCGUUCGGCCUCUUGCCGGCUUGUUUUCGGCGAUCAGACGCCGGGAUCGGACUCCCCACCCCCGAAAACCCCGGAAGCCACCCUC